CCGGCGACCGGCGCACGGGUGAGUAACACGUAUGCAACCUGGCCGCCACAGGGGGAUAACCCGCGGAAACGCGGCCUAAUACCCCGUGACGCCACCGGAGGGCAUCCUCCGGUGGCCAAAGGAGCGAUCCGGUGGCGGAUGGGCAUGCGGCGCAUUAGCUAGACGGCGGGGUGACGGCCCACCGUGGCGACGAUGCGUAGGGGUUCUGAGAGGAAGGCCCCCCACACUGGGACUGAGACACGGCCCAGACUCCUACGGGAGGCAGCAG
rnacentral:rRNA from 1 species